ensembl:lncRNA
AGUGUCACGCUGGUUUGACACGGCGAGGCAGUUGAUCUUGAACGAUGGCUGGACGUGAAAAUGAAUAAGGACACAUACACGCAACGUCACGAAACAGGGGUUUAAUACAUGAUGAACAGGACCGGGGAGACGUCCAGUAACAACGAUCCGACGGUGAACAGACACGAACAGGGCAGCUUUAUACACUCUUACACAGGUGAACACAUCAGGAAACAUUACACAGGACCAACUCCGGUCCGGAUCACAGUCCCGGAGUAACCCCUUCUGGACAGAUCAUGACAGUACAAUGCUGAGCUAGAACCAAAGGUUACAGGAAGAAUACAGAAUCCCAGUCUUUCAUAGCCACACUUUUUGCAUUUGGAAACAUUUUGUUAAAUGGCGCCUUAAGCUAAAGUGGUAGACCAGUAUACAUUUUCUGUAUAUUUAUUUAUUAUAUCAAUGCUAACACAUAUAAUUAGUGUAUAUAUGAUAGUUUGUUUGCUCAGAUUUAGUCCAUUCAUUACUACAAACCGUACAUGUAUAUGUUAUAAUGAUUAUUUUUAUGAUGAUGAUGAUUAUUAAAAUUUACCCCGAAUUACAAUACUUAUAGUUUGCUGUCUGAAUACAUAAUUUCUAAAAACAUAAAUGAGAUAUAAUGAUGCAACAGUUACUCAGUACUUAUACUUUUGCAGUAAUUUUUUGGAUGACUAUUUACUUGUACUAUUUGUACUUUUGGCUACUCUACACCUUGUAUUUUACUAUAUGAUAUUAUUACAUUGGAUGGAUGAGACGGUCUGAAUUUUCACUUUCUGAACCUGUAACAUGUAUUUCUGUGAACAGUGCAGACUCGAGGUUCGAAGGAAGGCUGCGUGUUCUCAGACAGGAAGUGCCUCGCCAUGAGCAAAGUUUCAGAGCUGCUCAUCUGUCAUCUGCUAGAAGAAAACAAGAACAAUCUCCAAGAGCCAACAACUGUAAUAAGCACCAUCACUUGAUUUCUUUGCCUGAAGGAGCUACUACCUACAACCUACAAACCUUAUAAAGCCCAUAAUCACAUCCAGAACGACUCAAUGGGCUUUGACAGGCCCAACGGUUGACACAUUCACAUUUGACCCUUCUGCACACAAGGAAAAACUCCACACAAAAAAAACUCAAGGAGAGAGAAAAAAGGCGGGAAGAAACGUUGGGAAGGAGUGAUACAGAGACCCCCUUCCAGGGUAGAGUGAGCCUGCAAAAGGUGUCAGGGCAGGGCUGGUGAUGGUUUGUCCAGUUGUACAGGUGGAGAAGUCCAUGGUGUAGUCGAGUGUCAUGGUGUAUGUUAUGUGUCCAUUAUGAUGCUACUGGUCCAUUUGAAGAUCCCUGAAGCUUUAGGAGUUAUGGUGGUGGUGGCUGUGGUGGCCCUCUGUUUUUUCUUUCAUGCUAAGUCCUCGUUUAGCAGUUGCCAGGAACCAGGAUUUAGAUGUGUUUUCAGUUUAGAUUUAAACACAGAGACUGAGUCUGAGUUCCGAACACUGACCGGCAAGCCGUUCCACAACUGCGGAGCUUUAUAGGAGAAGGAUCUGCUCCCAGCUGUGACCUUCUGUACUUUGAGUGACCCCGCAUCCACUCUGGUAACGUGGAGCGAGACAUUUUAGAGCUUUAUAGGUCAAACAUACUUGACCUACUUGACUUGAUUGACAGUGAUUACUCUGCAAAAACCAGAGUGUAAUAUGCAGACGACACCCAAGUGUACAUCUCCGUCAAGCCGGAUGAAGUUCAGCACCUCCCUGAACUAGAAAAUUGUCUGAAGGACAUCAGAGACUGGAUGACCAGUAGUUUCCCUGGUGAUCUGUGGAUGUGGAUUGACAGAAUAUAGAUUGGAGCGUGCUGGUUCUUCAGCCGGUCCUAGUACGUCUGUAAAGAAUUUGGGUGUGAUGCUGAUUUGUCAUUUAACUGUCACGUUCAAAAUAUUUUCAGGGCUGAACUACUUGGCCCUCUGCUGACCCUAUCUGAUUGUCACCUGCUGGGACUCUAACACACUACCUGGAUGGGUGGUAGUAGCC